rnacentral:rRNA from 1 species
UACGGGGGGGGCAAGCGUUGUUCGGAAUUACUGGGCGUAAAGGGUUCGUAGGUGGCUUGCUAAGUCAGACGUGAAAUCCCUCAGCUUAACUGGGGAACUGCGUCUGAUACUGGCGAGCUUGAGUGCAGGAGAGGAACGCAGAAUUCCAGGUGUAGCGGUGAAAUGCGUAGAUAUCUGGAGGAACACCGGUGGCGAAGGCGGCGUUCUGGACUGCAACUGACACUGAGGAACGAAAGCCAGGGGAGCAAACGGG